rnacentral:rRNA from 1 species
UACGUAGGGGGCAAGCGUUGUCCGGAAUCAUUGGGCGUAAAGCGCGUGUAGGCGGUCCGGUAAGUCCGUUGUGAAAGUCAAGGGCUCAACCCUUGAAUGCCGGCGGAUACUGUCGGGCUAGAGUCCGGAAGAGGUGAGUGGAAUUCCCGGUGUAGCGGUGAAAUGCGCAGAUAUCAGGAGGAACACCGGUGGCGAAGGCGGGAUCCUGGGCCGUUGCUGACACUGAGGCGCGAAAGCUGGGGGAGCGAACAGGAUUAGAUACCCUGGUAGU